UCGCGAUGUCGAGCCGUGGGUUGAAAGCAAAUGCAAGAGCAAAAACUCAUAAACAAUUUGUAAACAGAGAGGAAUCAACAUUAGCGACAUGCGUGCAACAAAGGACACAGGAGACCAGAACUGGCGUCGACGGAGCAUCUGCGCGCUGCACGUAGCGUUGAACAAGAGGAGUCAAGCCAGCUGGUGUAUACGAUUGAACGGAAACAACUCCUUGAGGAGCAACGAGGAGCAAUGAAGGGGAGGACUACACAGGACGGACACGGGACAAGAACCGACAAUGAAGCGUGUCUAAUAAUGCGCGUUGAUUUGCACAUGCUGCUCAUACCUUCUCUUCCGGUGCUCAGUUGAUUUCUCGUAACAUCAGGAUUCGACCUCGCCAUGGAUUUGCACUGCUCCUACUGCUCGUGACCUUGCUCGAACGGCUCAUUACGCUUCCCAUGCAGCGCGUAAAGCCACUCGUAAAGCCCCUCGUAUAGCUUGUAAAGCCCCUCGUACAGCUUGUAAAGCCGCUCAUAUUGCGCGUUAGCUUUCACAUACUGCUCAUGAGUUUGCACAUCUAUGUCUUUCUGUUUUCUUUUUGUUUUUGUUUUUUACAAUGGGAUUUCGUUUCAUGUGUCUAUAAGUUGCUACCGACUACCCACGGAAGCUUGAUUCUGACCUUUCGCUUGUGUCCUCAGCGAGUGCAUCGCUUGUGUUUUUGUUGCGUAUUCCAUUGAUGCUGCCGAGGAGCAUACCUAGUGCAGAGGAGCAGCAUGCCAUAUAUUAUCUCUUGCUGUGCACUAUAACGCAGAUAGUUCUGUUUCCCUCACUUGCUGUUGACGCCCUGUUCGCAUUGGAUGCCUUAAUUGGUAAGCACCACAAGUUGUUCAUCGAGAUCUGUGGCAGUGAAAGACUUACUCCAAAACUCCACACGCUACUACACAUCGUACGACAGGCUAGGAAUUUUGAAGCUUCUCGCCAUCACUGGGCGAUGUGAUUCGAAGGCAACAAUGCCCUACCCAAGUCGAAAAAAAUUCUGGAAUUACCGGAACCUGCCAUAUUCAGCUGCACCUGUCUUGCGAUCUGUGGCAUGGGGAAGGAACUCCAGAUCUCUUUCAUGAUGUUACACUGUAAAAGGGUGCGGUGGCAAGUUCACCUGUGGAGCUUACAGCGCAGUUUCUGUCUGUUGGGCUUGACAGGCGAUAUGUCGGUGAAAGGGCUACUGCUGUCGUCAAGGCAGUAAUUAACAAUUGUGAUGCUUCAUGCUGAAGACAUUGUGCUUAUUGGUAGACGAACUGA